CUUCAGGCGAAAUUCAGCCGAGCCUAAUCCUGCAGAUGAGCAGCAGUGACUGAUGGCCAGGAGUACCCUGACCAUAGUGAUGGGCUGGAAUCCCCUCAUUUAAAAAGGAAUUUCCAGACAAGGGUCCCAUUACCCCACAUAAUGUGAGGAUGAAGCUGGACAGGUGCUACCUGCCUGCAUCCCACCCCAGCGCACGAGGUCUGGUCAUGCACAGCCCCUCAGCAGGAAGCUGUUUGUAUAUUUGCACUGGGGGAAAAGGAGAAAGAGCAGGAGGGAUUGGCUCCCUCUGCAUGCACCAAGUUGUCCACAAGUGCUGCGUGCUGUCGGCAACUUCUCCUUGGACCAUUAAGAGCGAGGGCUGGGUUCCUCAGCACAGCAGUGGCCAUGCAGGUGCAUGAGCACAGCAGGAGAGUGCCAGUUGCAUUGCUGCCAAAAGCUGUGUGUCCAGAACUGCAUCCCAGUGGCCCCUUGGAUUUCAUUCCUCUGGAUGCUUUCUGGAAGAACGGGGACAACUGUGAAGUGCCCAGGCCCCCAGCAACAGGGAUGCAUCAGUAAAUGCGAGUAACUCAAGGAAGUAAACGGUUGGACCAGGCUGUCUUCAAAACUGUCCUGACUGUCUUGUGAGUUCCCUCACUUCUAAGAACUGGCAUCAGUGAAGUAUAUGGAAUGGGGCAGAUUUUAAAUUCCCCACCUGGAAAGCAAAUACCAAAGUCACAAGCUGCUGUCGCCUUUGGUACCUGCAGGGACUGGCCCCAUCAAACACAGUUAGCACAUGCCAGGGAGAGAAGGACCUUUUCUUCAGUGUUUACUGCAUCUUCUGUCCAGCAUCCUUGCACAGCACUGAGCAGGGACAGUGAUGUGUCAGCUCCAGGGGUGACACUGCCAGGAUGCAGCAUGGUGCCUGGGCACUAAUCAUUAUUUUUAACACUACAUGCAUGCCAGGGUAUUUUAGUGUGUAAGGAUGUGCAGUGCCAAGUUGGGUCAGAGCUUGAAGUUAGAUUAUUUUUCCAUAAAGUGAGAGCUUUGCAAAUUUCAGGCUUGGAUAAAUAAUUACUGCCCUUUUUUUAAGGAUUUUAUUUACAAGAGCAUCAAAAUGAAAGUGACAGCAGUGAUAGCAAGUAAAUUACCACUGCCUAAUUGGGCCCAAAGAUAAUUUAGGGCCUGAAAUGUCCCUUCGUGUAGACUGACAGAGAAAAGAAAAGCAUACCAGACACAUGCACAUUGGCUUUACCAGUUCUUAAAUUUCUUAUUUUUCUGCUAAUCACUGAAGUGUGAAAAACAUGCUAUGUUCUUCCCUGCUGCUUUUUCUGUAACCAGAUACUUGUAGGACUUGCAGUUGGAGAUGUUUAUUCAUCAUUAGACACAGAGACAAAGUUAUCAGGUACUAUUUGCUGACAUUGUCGAGUUAUAGAAUCAUUAAGGUUGGAAAAGACCACUAGGAUCAUCUAGUUCAGCCAUCAACCCAUUCCCACCAUGCCCACUAACCAUGUCCCUCAGUGCCACAUCCACAUGGUUUUUGAGUCUCAGAAGCUCUGCUGCUCUGAACAUCUCAGGCAGUCCUGCUCAGUGAUGGCUGGAUUCAGUGCUAAAAAUGCCAGUAUUGGCUGCUGCGCUCAUGAAUAGACCUCAUUCCUUGACAGUGAGAGCCCAAAAUGUCACAGAGGCACUUGUACAUCCUUGCAGAACUGUCCCUCAAAAGUGAGCAGCAGAGGCAAAGCCCUUAUCACCAUGUCACUGGUUAUAGAACAACAACAACAAAAAAGCCUUUAAUUAUUGCACUGGAAACAAAAUUACUUACAUGUGGUAGGUGCAAAGGGAUUCACCAGCAAACUAUUUGAUGUAGGCUCCUAACUGAAUAGAAAUGUUGAUGGCUUCAAGGUUUUAUGCCACAGCAGUUUAGAUCACCAGGACUGAAUAACUAUUUGAGAAUGAACUUUUAAGUUAAAGGUUACUGUUCUGCAUGUCCUAAGGGAUUUUGUUCAAACAUAAGCUCGUUUGUUUGUUGGCUUGUUUUUUAAAGAUAUAAAUGGAGAUAAUUUCUCAAAUAAUUUCAUAGUUUUAUAACGUAAGGUGCACAUAACAAAUCCACAGAUAGAAGAAUAUAGCCCCAACCUCUACAUAGCAUUGGAAUAUGACUCUAAAAAAACACAAGAACAUUGAGGGAGCAUGCCUUAUCCCACAGGAUUCAAGACAAAGAAAGGGCAUGCCAGGCUGUAAAGUUUAAAAAAGCUCUGUGACUGAAUUACAUGAAAAAGGGCUCAAUCACAGAAGAAAAUACAGCUAGGUUAAUGGGGAAGAUGUCACUUUUACAGGUGUAGAGACUUGCUAGAUCCGAUUUAUCAUCAGAAGCCAAACUUGUGAAAUUUACCUUGCUCUCUAGCAAAAAAAUAAAUAGAAAGCAUCAUUCUAAAAAGAAUGCUUUAGAAAAACGAAUAAUCCUCUUUUCAUGGAAUUUCAUUACAGAAAGGGGCAAUUCUGCACACAUUUUAUCUACUUCUAUGAAUAAAUGUGUUAAGCUUGAGAAGCUGGAGUCCAUUAUAUGGUUCUGCAGUCAGAUAGCAUGAGUCCCUGUUGCUUAUGCAGCUAUUAGAUGUUUUAUUAUGCAGCAGAAAUGCAGCAGAAAUGCAAUGAGACCUCUCAGAAGGUCUGCAAAUCCAGCAUGAAAGCAAAAUUUUAAUCUUUUUUUAGCCUUGCUUUUGUUACUGAUUUCCAGUGUUUUAAAAAAAAAGGGAAGAGGAGAGCCAAAAGCAAGGCGUGAUAGAAAGCUCACUGUUUCAAGCAUGAAUUCAACCCUGAAAUCCUGCUGAAACUGGUGAGUUUAGAGCGCAGCUCGAAUGUAGGAAGUUUCCCGAAUCCACAGAAUCGGGCUGUGGGGUGAACAGAGGGCAGAGCUGAUGGAGAAGCAAGAUAAUACAUGUCCGUACCUGCUGGAACCUGUGAUCUGGAAUGACAACUGCAAUACUUUGAGUGCUUUUUCCCACCACUUUUGCAGGGUACAGGGACUCCUGGAUCUGUUUAAAGAGAAAUCCGUGACCUGUACCUGACCUAUCUUCAGAUCACCAUCAGCCUGCACAGAGAGUGAGAGACUUUGCUGCUGCAGUGCAAAUUGUUAAAUAUUACUGUUUUCUCUGGGGAAGAAGCAUAGGCAUGCUGUGGUUUUUCCACUGACCACCAGAGGACAAAAAUGAGAAUUUCAUCUUUCUGCCCCAGGGAUGGGGCAUGGCUGCGUCCAUUACCUCUCUGGGAAACCUGCUGCAGUGCUUCAUUAUCCAUAAGGAUAAUAAUUGUAAAAUCUUUUCUCUUACAUCCAAUCUCAAUUUCCCAUUUUGGUUUGAAACCAUUUCCCCUUGUCCUAUCACAACAGACACUGCUAAAGAUUCUGUCCUCCAUGUUACACAUCUGUCCACAGUCCACUUGAGUAAAAUUUAAGCCUGGCAAUGAGAAAUUGGUAAAAUCCUCAAGAAAAGAGCUCUGGAAGUACAGGUGAAGAACAGUCUCCUGAGCAGUGAUCACUGACCUACCGCUGGACCUCAGAAAUCUCUGUGAGCUUCAGCAGAGGUUAGAUGCUCGAUGCAGACGUGCCUUUCUAUAACAGAAUAGAAGACAACAUGGUUUACUAGAUACUAAAUGUAUCUCACUCUGUACUACCUAUUAACAUAGAGUCACUUCUAAUGGUUCCUACAGAUUCUUUUAACAGUUGUGUUGGACUGUUCCAUAAGGACUCCAGUAACUGUUUAAGGACAGGAAAAAGUAAAGGAAUUUAAUGCAGUGGAUAUAGGCUGCAAUCUUUUUUCCUGUUUCUUACAGUACAGUAUUUUUAAAUUCACAGAAUCACAGAAUCUCCUGAGCUGGAAGGGAUCCGCAAGGAUCAUGGAGCCCAGCUCCUUGCUCCACACAGCACCACCCCAAAUCCAAACCCUAUGUCUGAGAGCGGUGUCCAGACACAGCUUGAACUCCAGCACUCAGGGCUGUGCCCACUGCCCUGGGCAGCCCAUUCCAUGCCCUCUGGUGCGGAAUCUGUCUCUAACCCCCAGCUGCCCCUCCCCUGACACAGCUCCA